rnacentral:rRNA from 1 species
AUUGAACGCUGGCGGCAGGCCUAACACAUGCAAGUCGAGCGAGCGGCGGACGGGUGAGUAAUGUAUGGGAAACUGCCCGAUAGAGGGGGAUAACUACUGGAAACGGUAGCUAAUACCGCAUACUAUCGGAUGAACCCAUAUGGGAUUAGCUAGUAGGUGGGGUAAAGGCUCACCUAGGCGACGAUCCCUAGCUGGUCUGAGAGGAUGACCAGCCACACUGGGACUGAGACACGGUCCAGACUCCUACGGGAGGCAGCAGUGGGGAAUAUUGCACAAUGGGCGCAAGCCUGAUGCAGCCAUGCCGCGUGUAUGAAGAAGGCCUUAGGGUUGUAAAGUACUUUCAGCGGGGAGGCGUUACCCGCAGAAGAAGCACCGGCUAACUCCGUGCCAGCAGCCGCGGUAAUAC